UACGAAGGGGGCUAGCGUUGUUCGGAUUUACUGGGCGUAAAGCGCACGUAGGCGGCUUUGUAAGUAAGAGGUGAAAGCCCAGAGCUCAACUCUGGAAUUGCCUUUUAGACUGCAUCGCUUGAAUCAUGGAGAGGUCAGUGGAAUUCCGAGUGUAGAGGUGAAAUUCGUAGAUAUUCGGAAGAACACCAGUGGCGAAGGCGGCUGACUGGACAUGUAUUGACGCUGAGGUGCGAAAGCGUGGGGAGCAAACAGG
rnacentral:rRNA from 1 species